AUUUACUUAAUAUAUGUAGUAUAUUUGACUUCCAAUCAAAAAGAUUAAAAAUUUAAAGUAAAUA
rnacentral:tRNA from 1 species